GGGAGCAAAAGACCUGGUUCACGUGACUGAAGCUCUCCAUCCCAAGGAUAUAGCCCUGAGUAGUACAGUCCCUUUCUUCUGUAUUGGUAUAGGGAGCACAAAAACAUUUCAAGCUCUGGCAAUCCAGAUCAGAAAAAAGCUGGGAAUUUCCUGUGGACCAAUAGAUGUGAAUCAAACUCCCUUCUGAGUUGGUGACUCAGACAAUGAGUUGGUUUGUAAAACUCUUUACAAGUGGAGAAGGGCCUGUCUUAUGAAAUUGACAUUGAUCUCUGCAUUUAUAUCUUUCAGAAGAUCCUCAGAAAAAAGUUGAGGCUCUUCAGAAAAAAGUUGAUGUACUUCAGAUUGAAAUUGACAGGAGGAAGGUUCAGUUCAAACAUGCCUGGAGGAACACACCAUUAUAUCCUGGUGAGUGACAUGAACUCUGAUGAAGAACAUCCUACUAUCAAAGAUAUUUUAAAUGAACAUCUACAGUGUGCAGA